GACUCACUAACAGCUAGAAAUGAAGUUCGUUGUAUACACAUUGUUUCGUUGGAUUCCUUGUAACUCCCGUCGUGUCGUACGCAAUAGCAAGCUACUUUUCCAUGCUAUCCGUGCCGAAUUCGGCCUAUAUACAAAAUGUUUUUUAGGAUUUUUACUAUGUCUACUCCUGUUACUGGUACCGUUAAAUGGUUCAACGAAACUAAAGGUUUCGGCUUCAUUAAACAAGAAAACGGUCCUGACGUUUUUGCUCAUUUCAGUGCUAUCCAAAGUGAAGGUUUCCGCACUUUGGCUGAAGGCCAAAAAGUUGAGUUUGUGAUCACACAAGGUCAAAAAGGCCCUCAAGCUGAAAGCAUCAAAGUCCUGUAAUAGACGAACCUAAUACUUAAUAGCCAGCUUUUUAGCUGGCUAUUUUCA
rnacentral:sRNA from 1 species